GUGAAUCAUCGAAUUUUUGAACGCAAAUUGCACUCUCCUCGGAGAGCAUGCCUGUUUGAGGGUCAGCCUAUAAAAAAUCGACAUCGUUGCUGUUUCGCGGUGACGUUCGUCGGAAAUUGGGUCAUCUUAAAUCUUUUUGAUUUAAGCGACUUAAAGUUUUCUUUUUGUUUCAUGAAAGUUUCUUAGAAUUUUUUCCUUUCAAGUUUAAAGUAAUGAUUUUUUCUUGACGUUACCA
rnacentral:misc_RNA from 1 species